AGUGAACGCUGGCAGCGUGCCUAAUACAUGCAAGUCGAACGCGAAAGUCCUUCGGGAUGAGUAAAGUGGCGCACGGGUGAGUAAUGCAUAAGAACAUGCCCUGAGAUGGGGAAUAACGUUUGGAAACGAACGCUAAUACCGCAUAAUCUCGUAAGAGUAAAGGUGGCGCCGCAAGGGCUACCGUCUAAGGAUUGGCUUAUGUCCCAUUAGCUAGUUGGCGGGGUAAUGGCCCACCAAGGCAACGAUGGGUAUGUGGUCUGAGAGGCUGAUCACACACACUGGAACUGAGACACGGUCCAGACUCCUACGGGAGGCAGCAGUAGGGAAUAUUGCACAAUGGGGGAAACCCUGAUGCAGCAACGCCGCGUGAGUGAAGAAGGCCCUUGGGUUGUAAAGCUCUUUAGCGUGGGAAGAGGGUAGUUAUGGUGAAUAAUCAUAGCUGCUGACGGUACCACGAGAAUAAGCACCGGCUAAUUUCGUGCCAGCAGCCGCGGUAA
rnacentral:rRNA from 1 species